rnacentral:rRNA from 1 species
AGAUUUGAUCCUGGCUCAGGAUGAACGCUGGCGGCGCAUUUAAGACAUGCAAGUCGAACGAAGAUUCACACCGAAUGAAAGAUGAAGAUUCAUCAGAUUCUGGAUUUCACCGUGAAUUCUUAGGGCGGACGGGUGAGUAAUACGUAGAUAAUCUGCCUUCUAGAGGGAAAUAACAGAGAGAAAUUCUGCUAAUGUCCCAUAAGACCACACUAUGGCAUCUUAGAGUGAUCAAAGGAGCAAUCCCUAGAAGAUGAGUCUACGGCUGAUUAGCCAGUUGGCAGUGUAAUGGACUACCAAAGCUAUAUCAGUAGCCGAGCUGAGAGGCUGGCCGGCCACAUUGGGACUGAGACACGGCCCAGACUCUACGGGAGGCAGCAGUUGGGAAUAUUGGACAAUGGAGGAAACUCUGAUCCAGUGACGCCGGUGAAGGAAGAAGGUCUUCGGAUUGUAAACUUAUUUUGUCAGGGAAGAAUUUUGACUGUACUGAAGAAAAAGCACCGGCUAACUACGUGCCAGCAGCCGCGGUAAUACGUAGGGUGCAAGGUUAUCCGGAUUUACUGGGUGUAAAGGGCGAGUAGACGGCGAUGCAAGUCAGAUGUGAAAGCUAGGGCUUAACCUUAGAACUGCAUCUGAAACUGUAUUGCUAGAGUGCAGGAGAGGUAACGGAAUUCCUAGUGUAGCGGUGAAAUGCGUAGAUAUUAGAGGAACAUCAGUGGCGAAGGCGUUUACUGGACUGUAACUGACGUUGAGGCGCGAAAGCGUGGGGGAGCAAACAAGGAUUAGUACCCUGGUAGUCCACGCCGUAACGAUGGAUACU